CAAGUGGGAUUUAUCCCAGGGAUGCAAGGUUGGUUCAACAUAUGGAAAUCAAUAAAUGUAAUUCAUUACAUCAAUAGACUUAAAGAUAAGAAUCAUAUGAUCAUCUCAGUAGACGCAGAAAAGGCAUUCAACAAAAUACAGCACCCCUUCAUAUUCAAAACAUUUAAAAACCUAGAAAUAACAGGAGUAUAUUUCAACAUCAUAAAAGCCAUCUAUGCUAAGACCCAGGCCAGCAUCAUUCUAAAUGGAGACAAAUUGAAAGUAUUUCCUCUAAAAACUGGAACAAGACAGGGAUGCCCUAUUUCAUCAUUUCUAUUUAAAAUAGUUCUUGAAACAUUGGUCAGAGAAAUUAGACAGAUAAAAGAAAUUAAAGGGAUAUGGAUAGGAAAAGAAGACCUCAAAUUAGUACUAUUUUGCUGACAAUAUGAUUCUAUACCUAGAAGACCCACAAAAUUUCACUAGAAAACUUCUAGAACUAGUAAAUGAAUUUAGCAAAGUACGAGGGUACAAAAUCAACACCCAUAAAUCAAAGGCAUUUCUGUAUAUCAGUGACAAAUCCUCUGAAAGGAAAAUAAGGAAAACUACCCCCUUUACAAUAGCUUCAAAAAAUAAAAAAAAAUACUUGGGAAUCAACCUAACAAAAGAGGUGAAAGAUCUCUACAAUGAAAACUAUAGAAUUCUAAAGAAAGAAAUUAAAUAAGGCUUUAGAAGACGAAAAGAUCUUCCUUGUUCUUGGAUAGGCAGAAUUAAUAUUGUCAAAAUGACCAUACUACCAAAAGCACUAUACAUAUUUAAUGCAAUUCCAAUCAAAAUCCCAAUGAUAUUCCUCAUAGAAAUAGAAAAAGCAAUCAUGAAAUUCAUCUGUAAAAAUAAGAGAUCCAGAUAGUUAAAUAGUUAGCAAAAAGAGUGAAGCAGGUGGCAUCACUACACCAGACCUUAAACCAUACUACAGAGCAAUGGUAACAAAAACAGCAUUGUAUUGGCACCAAAAAUAGACUGGUAGACCAAUGAUACAGAAUAUAGGACACAGCGACUAACUUACAUAAUUAUAGUUAUAUUAGACAAAGGCACCAAAAACAUACAUUAGAGAAAAAAUAGCCUCUUCAACAAAUGGUGCUGGGAAAAUUGGUAAUCUGUGUGCAACAAAAUUAAAUUAAACCCCUAUCUUUCACUAUGCACAAAAGUCAACUCAAAGUGGAUCAAGAACCUAGAAAUUAAACCAGAGACCCUGUGCCUAUUAGAAGAAAAAAUAGGCCCAAAUCUCCAUUAUGUCAGAUUAGGCUACAAGUUUCUUAAUAAGACUCCUCUAACACAAGAAUUAAAAUCAAGAAUCAAUAAAUGGUAUGGAUUAAAACUAAAAAUCUUUUUCUCAGCCAAAGAAACAAUCAGAGAGGUGAAUAGAGCCUACAUCUUGGGAGCAAAUUUUUACCACUUGCACAUCAGAAAGGGCCCUAAUCCCUAGGGUACAUAAAGAAUUCAAAAAGCUAAACACC
rnacentral:lncRNA from 1 species